GUGGCUCAGUAGGUAGGGCGUUGGCCCCAUAUACCAAGGGUGGCGGGUUCAAACCCCGCC
rnacentral:tRNA from 1 species